rnacentral:rRNA from 1 species
UACGGAGGGUGCUAGCGUUAUCCGGAUUUACUGGGUUUAAAGGGUGCGUAGGUGGGCAGGUAAGUCAGUGGUGAAAUCUUCAAGCUUAACUUGGAAACUGCCAUUGAUACUAUUUGUCUUGAAUAUCCUGGAGGUAAGUGGAAUAUGUCAUGUAGCGGUGAAAUGCUUAGAUAUGACAUAGAACACCCAUUGCGAAGGCAGCUUACUACGGGAUUAUUGACACUGAGGCACGAAAGCGUGGGGAUCAAACAGG